rnacentral:rRNA from 1 species
UACGUAGGGCGCGAGCGUUAAUCGGAAUUACUGGGCGUAAAGCGUGCGCAGGCGGUUUUGUAAGACAGCUGUGAAAUCCCCGGGCUCAACCUGGGAACUGCGGUUGUGACUGCAAGGCUGGAGUACGGCAGAGGGGGGUGGAAUUCCUGGUGUAGCAGUGAAAUGCGUAGAGAUCAGGAGGAACAUCGAUGGCGAAGGCAGCCCCCUGGGCCUGUACUGACGCUCAUGCACGAAAGCGUGGGGAGCAAACAGG